AACGGCCGUACCAUGCUGAAUAUACCGGUUCUCGUUCGAUCACCGAAGUUAAGCAUAUUGGGCGCGUCAGUACUUGGGUGGGUGACCACCUGGGAACACUGCGUGCCGUU
rnacentral:rRNA from 1 species